ACGGGUGAGUAAUGCAUCGGGACCUACCCAGACGUGGGGGAUAACCUCGGGAAACCGGGACUAAUACCGCAUACGUCCUACGGGAGAAAGCGGGGGACCUUCGGGCCUCGCGCGGCUGGACGGACCGAUGUGCGAUUAGCUAGUUGGUAGGGUAAUGGCCUACCAAGGCGACGAUCGCUAGCUGGUCUGAGAGGAUGAUCAGCCACACUGGGACUGAGACACGGCCCAGACUCCUACGGGAGGCAGCAGUGGGGAAUAUUGGACAAUGGGCGCAAGCCUGAUCCAGCAAUGCCGCGUGUGUGAAGAAGGCCUUCGGGUUGUAAAGCACUUUUAUCAGGAACGAAAUACCACGGGUUAAUAACCUAUGGGGCUGACGGUACCUGAGGAAUAAGCACCGGCUAACUUCGUGCCAGCAGCCGCGGUAAUACGAAGGGUGCAAGCGUUAAUCGGAAUUACUGGGCGUAAAGGGUGCGUAGGCGGUUCGUUAAGUCUGUCGUGAAAUCCCCGGGCUCAACCUGGGAAUGGCGAUGGAUACUGGCGAGCUAGGGUGUGUCAGAGGAUGGUGGAAUUCCCGGUGU
rnacentral:rRNA from 1 species